AGAGCGAACGCUGGCGGCAGGCUUAACACAUGCAAGUCGAGCGCCUGUAGCAAUACAGGAGCGGCAGACGGGAGAGUAACACGUGGGAACGUACCUUUCAGUUCGGAACAACCAAGGGAAACUUUGGCUAAUACCGGAUACGCCCGUAAGGGGAAAGAUUUAUCGCUGAAAGAUCGGCCCGCGUCUGAUUAGCUUGUUGGUGAGGUAAUGGCUCACCAAGGCGACGAUCAGUAGCUGGUCUGAGAGGAUGAUCGGCCUCACUGGGACUGAGACACGGCCCAGACUCCUACGGGAGGCAGCAGUGGGGAAUAGUUGGACAAU
rnacentral:rRNA from 1 species